GCGGACGUGGCGGAAUGGCAGACGCGCAGCGUUCAGAGCGCUGUCUUAGCAAUAAGGUGAAGGUUCAACUCCUUUCGUCCGCA
rfam:Microgenomates (Daviesbacteria) bacterium GW2011_GWC2_40_12 TT77_C0016, whole genome shotgun sequence.